rnacentral:rRNA from 1 species
AGAGUUUGAUCCUGGCUCAGGAUGAACGCUAGCGACAGGCCUAACACAUGCAAGUCGAGGGGCAUCGGGACGUAGCAAUACGUUGCCGGCGACCGGCGGAUGGGUGAGUAACGCGUAUGCAACCUACCCGUAGCAGGGGGAUAGCCCGUUGAAAGACGGAUUAAUACCCCGUAACACAGGGGCUCCGCAUGGAGAUUAUUGUUAAAGGGUCAUUUCUUUUAGAGGUGGUCCGGCUGCGGAUGGGCAUGCGUUCCAUUAGGUAGUUGGUGUAGGUAACGGCUCACCAAGCCGACGAUGGAUAGGGGAACUGAGAGGUUGGUCCCCCACACUGGUACUGAGACACGGACCAGACUCCUACGGGAGGCAGCAGUGAGGAAUUUUGGUCAAUGGACGCAAGUCUGAACCAGCCAUGUCGCGUGAAGGAGGACGGCCCUAAGGGUUGUAAACUUCUUUUGCAGUGGAAUAAAGUUUGCCACGUGUUGGCGAUUUGCAAGUACGCUGCGAAUAAGGAUCGGCUAACUCCGUGCCAGCAGCCGCGGUAAUACGGAGGAUCCAGGCGUUAUCCGGAUUUAUUGGGUUUAAAGGGUGCGCAGGCGGGGAAUUAGGUCGGCGGUGAAAUUUCGGGGCUCAACCUCGACAGUGCCGUUGAAACCGUUUCUCUUGAGUGCGGAUGAGGUAGGCGGAAUUUGUGGUGUAGCGGUGAAAUGCGUAGAUAUCACAAGGAACACCGAUUGCGGAGGCAGCUUACUAAACCGUUACUGACGCUCAUGCACGAAGGCGUGGGGAUCAAACAGGAUUAGAUACCCUGGUAGUCCACGCAGUAAACGAUGAUUACUUGCUGUUUGCGAUACACAGUAAGCGGCGAAGCGAAAGCGUUAAGUAAUCCACCUGGGGAGUACGUUCGCAAGAAUGAAACUCAAAGGAAUUGACGGGGCCCGCACAAGCGGAGGAACAUG